rnacentral:rRNA from 1 species
GACGAACGCUGGCGGCGUGCUUAACACAUGCAAGUCGAACGGAAAGGCCCUGCUUUUGUGGGGUGCUCGAGUGGCGAACGGGUGAGUAACACGUGAGUAACCUGCCCUUGACUUUGGGAUAACUUCAGGAAACUGGGGCUAAUACCGGAUAGGAGCUCCUGCUGCAUGGUGGGGGUCGGAAAGUUUCGGCGGUUGGGGAUGGACUCGCGGCUUAUCAGCUUGUUGGUGGGGUAGUGGCUUACCAAGGCUUUGACGGGUAGUCGGCCUGAGAGGGUGACCGGCCACAUUGGGACUGAGAUACGGCGCAGACUCCUACGGGAGGCAGCAGUGGGGAAUAUUGCACAAUGGGCGGAAGCCUGAUGCAGCAACGCCGCGUGCGGGAUGACGGCCUUCGUGUUGUAAACCGCUUUCGCCUGUGACGAAGCGUGAGUGACGGUAAUGGGUAAAGAAGCACCGGCUAACUACGUG